UACGUAGGGGGCUAGCGUUGUCCGGAAUCAUUGGGCGUAAAGCGCGUGUAGGCGGUCCGGUAAGUCCGCUGUGAAAGUCGGGGGCUCAACCCUCGGAUGCCGGUGGAUACUGUCGGGCUUGAGUACGGAAGAGGCGAGUGGAAUUCCUGGUGUAGCGGUGAAAUGCGCAGAUAUCGGGAGGAACACCAGUGGCGAAGGCGGCUCUCUGGGCCCUACCUGACGCUGAGACGCGAAAGCGUGGGGAGCGAACCGG
rnacentral:rRNA from 1 species